GUCGUUAGUGUUGAUCAAGUCGUGCCAGACCUUUCUUGAGAGGGGAGGGAUGUGAGGUUGUUCCCGGUAUUUGGACAGCAUCGCAUGAACGCAACCAUCAACAAUAGCGUGCGCCUGCACGUGGACUUGUCAGCUGUGUCGUGUGAUUGUUUCUCGAUUGUAGUCAGUCUCGUCUUUGUCUUCGUCAAGUAAACGUCUGUUAUUUGUA